CCGAUUCUGUGAAAACAUUGAUGUAAUUUUCUUUUUACCGAGAAAUAAGAUGACCUCGAAGUCGAUUAUCGCAGCCAUAAGCAAAAUGCGAUAAGGAGCUGCUCUGGGCUAUAAAUACCGUUGCAGUCUGAGGAAGAGCUCAUACUCAGAAUAUUUGUCGAGAUGAAGUUAUUGGCUCUACUUGUUGCCGUGCUGGCCGUGGUUGUGCAGGUUUUCGGGCAUGUUCUUCCACAAUGUCCACCCCCACCAACCGAUGAAGUCGCCCAAAGCGGUGGCUACGUAAUCACAGACUUAUCUGCUCAACGAUCCGCUCAAAGAUCUGCUCAAGCUCCACCUCCUAGAUAUAAUAUGGGCAGAAGAAACUAACUGAACUACGAAACAAAACUUCUGUAAUGAUAUCAAAGCAAAUAAAGUAAUCAUUUUCUGAACCAAAAUUA